rnacentral:rRNA from 1 species
AUGAACGCUGGCGGCGUGCCUAAUACAUGCAAGUCGAGCGAACAGACGAGGAGCUUGCUCCUCUGACGUUAGCGGCGGACGGGUGAGUAACACGUGGAUAACCUACCUAUAAGACUGGGAUAACUUCGGGAAACCGGAGCUAAUACCGGAUAAUAUAUUGAACCGCAUGGUUCAAUAGUGAAAUACGGUUUUGCUGUCACUUAUAGAUGGAUCCGCGCCGCAUUAGCUAGUUGGUAAGGUAACGGCUUACCAAGGCAACGAUGCGUAGCCGACCUGAGAGGGUGAUCGGCCACACUGGAACUGAGACACGGUCCAGACUCCUACGGGAGGCAGCAGUAGGGAAUCUUCCGCAAUGGGCGAAAGCUUGACGGAGCAACGCCGCGUGAGUGAUGAAGGUCUUCGGAUCGUAAAACUCUGUUAUUAGGGAAGAACAAAUGUGUAAGUAACUAUGCACGUCUUGACGGUACCUAAUCAGAAAGCCACGGCUAACUACGUG